GGUUCUAUAGCUCAGUGGUAGAGCAUACGAUUGCAGUCCGGUUUCGACUGGGAAAUAUCGUGCGGUCGCGCGUUCGAUCCGCGCUGGGACCU
rnacentral:tRNA from 1 species